CCUACGGGAGGCAGCAGUGAGGAAUAUUGGUCAAUGGACGAGAGUCUGAACCAGCCAAGUAGCGUGAAGGAUGACUGCCCUAUGGGUUGUAAACUUCUUUUAUAUGGGAAUAAAACGUUCCACGUGUGGGAUUUUGUAUGUACCAUAUGAAUAAGGAUCGGCUAACUCCGUGCCAGCAGCCGCGGUAAUACGGAGGAUCCGAGCGUUAUCCGGAUUUAUUGGGUUUAAAGGGAGCGUAGAUGGAUUGUUAAGUCAGUUGUGAAAGUUUGCGGCUCAACCGUAAAAUUGCAGUUGAAACUGGCAGUCUUGAGUACAGUAGAGGUAGGCGGAAUUCGUGGUGUAGCGGUGAAAUGCUUAGAUAUCACGAAGAACUCCGAUUGCGAAGGCAGUUCACUGGACUGCAACUGACACUGAGGCUCGAAAGUGUGGGUAUCAAACAGGAUUAGAUACCCCAGUAGUC
rnacentral:rRNA from 1 species